GUUGCCUACGGGACGCAGCAGUAGGGAAUAUUGCUCAAUGGGGGAAACCCUGAAGCAGCAACGCCGCGUGGAAGAUGAAGGUUUUAGGAUUGUAAACUCCUUUUGUGAGAGAAGAUAAUGACGGUAUCUCACGAAUAAGCACCGGCUAACUCCGUGUCAGCAGCCGCGGUAAUACGGAGGAUGCGAGCGUUAUCCGGAUUUAUUGGGUUUAAAGGGUGCGCAGGCGGUCUGUUAAGUCAGCGGUCAAAGCCCGGGGCUCAACCCCGGCCCGCCGUUGAAACUGGCAGUCUCGAGUUGGAGAGAAG
rnacentral:rRNA from 1 species